rnacentral:rRNA from 1 species
UAAGGAAUAUUGGUCAAUGGACGCAAGUCUGAACCAGCCAUGCCGCGUGAAGGAUGAAGGUCCUCUGGAUUGUAAACUUCUUUUAUCUGGGACGAAAACGGGAUUUUUAUCUCAAUUGACGGUACCAGAGGAAUAAGCACCGGCUAACUCCGUGCCAGCAGCUGCGGUAAUACGGAGGGUGCGAGCGUUAUCCGGAUUUACUGGGUUUAAAGGGUGCGUAGGUGGGCUUAUAAGUCAGUGGUGAAAUCUCCGAGCUUAACUUGGAAACUGCCGUUGAUACUAUAGGUCUUGAAUUAUCUGGAGGUCAGCGGAAUAUGUCAUGUAGCGGUGAAAUGCUUAGAUAUGACAUAGAACACCAAUUGCGAAGGCAGCUUACUACAUAUAAAUUGACGCUGAGGCACGAAAGCGUGGGGAUCAAACA